rnacentral:rRNA from 1 species
UACGAAGGGGGCUAGCGUUGCUCGGAUUGACUGGGCGUAAAGGGCGCGUAGGCGGUUCGUACAGUCAGACGUGAAAUUCCUGGGCUCAACCUGGGGGCUGCGUUUUGAUACGUGCGGACUUGAGUGCGGAAGAGGGUCGUGGAAUUCCCAGUGUAGAGGUGAAAUUCGUAGAUAUUGGGAAGAACACCGGUGGCGAAGGCGGCAUCCUGGACCGGCAUUGACGCUGAUGAGCGAAAAGCUAGGGGAGCAAACGGG